rnacentral:rRNA from 1 species
UACAGAGGGGGCAAGCGUUGUUCGGAAUUACUGGGCGUAAAGGGCGCGUAGGCGGCCUGCUAAGUCGAACGUGAAAUCCCCGGGCUCAACCCGGGAACUGCGUCCGAUACUGGCAGGCUUGAAUCCGGGAGAGGGAUGCGGAAUUCCAGGUGUAGCGGUGAAAUGCGUAGAUAUCUGGAGGAACAUCAGUUGCGAAGGCGGCUCUCUGGACCAGCACUGACACUGAGGCACGAAAGCGUGGGGAGCAAACAGG